CUCCGGUUGAUCCUGCCGGACCCGACUGCUAUCAGAGUGGGACUAAGCCAUGCGAGUCAACAUAGCAAUAUGUGGCAUACGGCUCAGUAACACGUAGUCAACAUGCCCAGGGGACGUGGAUAACCUCGGGAAACUGAGGAUAAACCGCGAUAGGUCAUUACUUCUGGAAUGGGUAAUGACUUAAAUCUAUAUGGCCCCUGGAUUGGACUGCGGCCGAUCAGGCUGUUGGUGAGGUAAUGGCCCACCAAACCUGUAACCGGUACGGGCUCUGAGAGGAGGAGCCCGGAGAUGGGCACUGAGACAAGGGCCCAGGCCCUAUGGGGCGCAGCAGGCGCGAAACCUCUGCAAUAGGCGAAAGCUUGACAGGGUUACUCUGAGUGAUUUCCGUUAAGGAGAUCUUUUGGCACCUCUAAAAAUGGUGCAGAAUAAGGGGUGGGCAAGUCUGGUGUCAGCCGCCGCGGUAAUACCAGCACCCCGAGUGGUCGGGACGUUUAUUGGGCCUAAAGCAUCCGUAGCCGGUUCUACAAGUCUUCCGUUAAAUCCACCUGCUUAACAGAUGGGCUGCGGAAGAUACUAUAGAGCUAGGAGGCGGGAGAGGCAAGCGGUACUCGACGGGUAGGGGUAAAAUCCGUUGAUCCAUUGAAGACCACCAGUGGCGAAGGCGGCUUGCCAGAACGCGCUCGACGGUGAGGGAUGAAAGCUGGGGGAGCAAACCGGAUUAGAUACCCGGGUAGUCCCAGCUGUAAACGAUGCAGACUCGGUGAUGAGUUGGCUUAUUGCUAACUCAGUGCCGCAGGGAAGCCGUUAAGUUUGCCGCCUGGGGAGUACGGUCGCAAGACUGAAACUUAAAGGAAUUGGCGGGGGGAGCA
rnacentral:rRNA from 1 species